rnacentral:rRNA from 1 species
AAACGUAGUCCCACGUUCGGACUGCAGUCUGCAACUCGACUGCACGAAGUCGGAAUUGCUAGUAAUCGCGGAUCAGCAUGCCGCGGUGAAUACGUUCCCGGGCCUUGUACACACCGCCCGUCACACCAUGGGAGUUGGUAACACCCGAAGUCAGUAGCCUAACCGCAAGGAGGGCGCUGCCGAAGGUGGGAUCGAUGACUGGGGUGAAGUCGUAACAAGGUAUC